rfam:Oryza barthii chromosome 4, whole genome shotgun sequence.
AAAAAGACAAACUCUGGUUUCCGUGCCUAACAUUUGAUCGUCCGUCUUAUUUAAAAAAAUUAUGAAAAAAAUUAAAAAGAUAAACCACGCAUAAAAUAUUAAUCAUGUUUUAUCAUCUAACAACAAUAAAAAUACGAAUUAUAAAAAGUUUUUAUAUAAGACAAACAGUCAAAAUUAGACAUAGAAAACCAAGGUUUGUUUUUUU